AGUGAACGCUGGCGGUAGGCCUAACACAUGCAAGUCGAACGGCAGCACAGUAAGAGCUUGCUCUUACGGGUGGCGAGUGGCGGACGGGUGAGGAAUACAUCGGAAUCUACUUUUUCGUGGGGGAUAACGUAGGGAAACUUACGCUAAUACCGCAUACGACCUACGGGUGAAAGCAGGGGAUCUUCGGACCUUGCGCGAUUGAAUGAGCCGAUGUCGGAUUAGCUAGUUGGCGGGGUAAAGGCCCACCAGGGCGACGAUCCGUAGCUGGUCUGAGAGGAUGAUCAGCCACAAUGGAACUGAGACACGGUCCAGACUCCUACGGGAGGCAGCAGUGGGGAAUAUUGGACAAUGGGCGCAAGCCUGAUCCAGCCAUACCGCGUGGGUGAAGAAGGCCUUCGGGUUGUAAAGCCCUUUUGUUGGGAAAGAAAAGCAGCAGGUUAAUACCCCGCUGUUCCGACGGUACCCAAAGAAUAAGCACCGGCUAACUUCGUG
rnacentral:rRNA from 1 species